UGGUUUUCAGGAAUGAAUCUGCUCAGAACUGGCUGAGAUCCCAUUGAUUGUUAUGCAAUGCUUGGAGGACAUUUUAAGCUUGUAUCCAAGUUUUCACCGUGGAAUGAACCUGUUUAUCACUGGCUGAGAUAUCAACAAGAACUCAGC